UACGAAGGGGGCUAGCGUUGCUCGGAAUCACUGGGCGUAAAGCGCACGUAGGCGGACUCUUAAGUCGGUGGUGAAAUCCUGGAGCUCAACUCCAGAACUGCCUUCGAUACUGGGAGUCUCGAGUCCGAGAGAGGUGAGUGGAACUGCGAGUGUAGAGGUGAAAUUCGUAGAUAUUCGCAAGAACACCAGUGGCGAAGGCGGCUCACUGGCUCAGUACUGACGCUGAGGUGCGAAAGCGUGGGGAGCAAACAGG
rnacentral:rRNA from 1 species